rnacentral:rRNA from 1 species
GACGAACGCUGGCGGCGUGCCUAAUACAUGCAAGUCGAACGAACCGCGACUAGGUGCUUGCACUUGGUCAAGGUGAGUGGCGAACGGGUGAGUAACACGUGGGUAACCUACCUCAUAGUGGGGGAUAACAGUCGGAAACGACUGCUAAUACCGCAUAGGACAUAGGAUAACAUGAUUCUGUGAGGAAAGGUAGCGCAAGCUAUCGCUAAGAGAUGGACCCGCGGUGCAUUAGCUAGUUGGUAGGGUAAAGGCCUACCAAGGCGAUGAUGCAUAGCCGACCUGAGAGGGUGAUCGGCCACAUUGGGACUGAGACACGGCCCAAACUCCUACGGGGGGCAGCAGUAGGGAAUCUUCCGCAAUGGACGCAAGUCUGACGGAGCAACGCCGCGUGAGUGAAGAAGGUCUUCGGAUCGUAAAGCUCUGUUGUUAGAGAAGAACAGCGCAUAGAGUAACUGUUAUGCGUGUGACGGUAUCUAACCAGAAAGCCACGGCUAACUACGUG